GGACGCACCUCUGGAGAGAGCCGCUCGCGGCCACCGAAGGGGCAAACCAAUCUGCACGAUGCGGAUUGCGAAACUCUCAGGUAAAAGGACAGGGGAACGGAU
rnacentral:ncRNA from 1 species